CUACUUAUUAUUAAUUUAAUCCACUAAUUAUAGAAACAAAUUAUUAUCAUUCAGUCAUUUUCAGUCCUCCAGCCUAACCAGAGAUAAAUAGCAGAAUGAGGUGUCCUCUACUAGUACUAGUAGUCGUCUUCCUUACAUUAGCUCAAUCUCAGCUCAACAAUGGAACGCAGGAGGAGGAAACAGGACUAAUUGUAUCAUCAGGAUUAGUGAAACGAUCCGGCAUUCGAACUCUGACAAGAAGGAGACGAAACAGAAGAGGCCACAAGAUUGCAAAAAAUAAGAAGAAAAAGAAACAGUUUGGUUCUUGCGAUUAUGUUCGAUUAUCUGGACUAGAUAAGUGCAAAAAUGGUGAACAAGCAUUGCUGAAAAGUAAACUUCUGUUCCUAAAGGUGGAUCAAGUAGAUAUUGCUACAUUUUCAAAAAACCCAAACCAGUUUAUGAAAUGCUCAACUGUUAGAGAUAAAACAGCUGAACUAAAGUGCAAGUCUGUGAAAAAUCUGGAUAAAAUGCUUCUCUCGGACUCAGGAGGCUCGGGUAACUUUUUUCUUCAACUUUUAGAAACUAAAUAAAUAAACAUUAAUAAAAACAACACGAAUCUUUAGCACUUUUGGAAUACAAUAGGAAUAGGGGGGGUGGGGGGGCAGAAUAAAGAUGCAGAACAGUAUCUGAACAAUGCUGAAAAAUGUUGGAAAAUGUAAAAAUGCUUUACGGCGAACUGGAACUACAUCCUCAACUCCUGGGAAGAAAGAUUAAGGUAGAUUCAUAAACUUCAAGGUUUAAAAAAAUGAAACGGGUUCAUUUUUUUUAAUUAAGCGAAUCUGACAAUCUUUGAAAGUAAAAAUAUCGAUAAUUUCUGUCAAAAUAAUUAUAACAUUGUUUUCAGAAAACCUGGGAUAUUUGAUUUUGCAUCUAUUUUUUGAGGCUAUAUAUAUAUAUAUAUCUGUUGACCAUAAAUCUAUCCUCUCCACUCUCACGUCAUGUCGUCUUUACCAGCCCAAAUCCAAACCAAACAAUUUCUCCCACUCUACCUCCCUACCCAUACUAAGGAAAAUCGAAAUAGUGAAAAGUUUUACUAAGUGAAAGAUCAAAUCCAUAAAUAACUGAGAAAUCAAUAGUUAAUUCCACUUAAAAAAAAACAAUAUUGUGUGUACUUUCUAAGGCCCGAGGGAGCAACCCUAUUAAACGGAUAUAAGGAACGGGUGAAAGUCAUGAAAGAAUAUCCAGUUUCUUAUUUCUAAUUAUAAUUCAACAACUUUUUCAUGUUCACUGUAUAAUAUGGUAAAAUCGAAGUUGGGAACCUAAUACUUGCUGCUUCAGAAGGAAAUACACAGAAACAGAAUUCAAGAUUAGACGGCACAGUUCCCUAUAAUGUAUGUUUAUUUAGCUAAUGUUUUAUUUAAAUUAUAUAUUAUAUAACUCA
rnacentral:misc_RNA from 1 species